AUUGAACGCUGGCGGCAUGCUUUACACAUGCAAGUCGAACGGCAGCGCGGGCUUCGGCCUGGCGGCGAGUGGCGAACGGGUGAGUAAUACAUCGGAACGUGCCCAGUAGUGGGGGAUAGCUCGGCGAAAGCCGGAUUAAUACCGCAUACGACCUGAGGGUGAAAGCGGGGGAUCUUCGGACCUCGCGCUAUUGGAGCGGCCGAUGGCAGAUUAGCUAGUUGGUGGGGUAAAGGCCUACCAAGGCGACGAUCUGUAGCUGGUCUGAGAGGACGACCAGCCACACUGGGACUGAGACACGGCCCAGACUCCUACGGGAGGCAGCAGUGGGGAAUUUUGGACAAUGGGCGAAAGCCUGAUCCAGCAAUGCCGCGUGUGUGAUGAAGGCCUUCGGGUUGUAAAGCACUUUUGGCGGGAACGAAAAGGACUGUGCCAAUACCACGGUUCGAUGACGGUACCCGCAGAAUAAGCACCGGCUAACUGCGUG
rnacentral:rRNA from 1 species